rnacentral:tRNA from 1 species
UAUAUAAUAAGCUAAAUUAAGCUUAUAGGUUCAUACCCUAUCGAUAAAUUGAAAAAUUUUUAUAUAA